rnacentral:rRNA from 1 species
UAAUACAGAGGGUGCAAGCGUUAAUCGGAAUUACUGGGCGUAAAGGGCGCGUAGGUGGUUAAUUAAGUUAGAUGUGAAAUCCCUGGGCUUAACCUAGGAAUUGCGUUUAAAACUGAUUGACUAGAGUGUGGUAGAGGGAAGUGGAAUUUCCGGUGUAGCGGUGAAAUGCGUAGAUAUCGGAAGGAACAUCAGUGGCGAAGGCGACUUCCUGGACCACUACUGACACUGAGGCGCGACAGCGUGGGGAGCGAACAGGAUUAGAUACCCUGGUAGUCCACGCCGUAAACGAUGAGAACUAGAUGUUAGGGGGCUUAGACCUCUUAGUAUCGUAGCAAACGCGAUAAGUUCUCCGCCUGGGGAGUACGGCCGCAAGGUUA